GUCUACGGCCAUUUCACCCUGAACGUGCCCAAUCUUGUCUGGUCCCAGAAUCUAAGCAGGGUUGGGCCUGGUUAUGACUUGGAUGGGAAAUGGUGGGUAGAGU
rnacentral:rRNA from 1 species